GUGUGUGUGUGUGUGUGUGUGUGUGUGUGUGUGUGUGUGUUGUCUCCCACAGAGGCCAGAUGUAAGCCAACAUAAUGACACCAAACCAGCUGGCAAAAACUCCACAGAGUUCUUUGUGAAGAUCGACCCAAAUGGAAAAUAUCUCCGUCUCACCAACAAGUCUAAAGAGGACCUGAAACUGGAAGGCUGGAAGUUACGAGUGAAGCUCAACGACCAAAACCCCAUCAUGUUAACAUUUGAGGAGUCAAUUACACUCAAAGCUGAGGAGAAAGUCUAUAUAUUUGCCUCAGGUAUUGUCCUCCUUUCUCCUGGUACCUCUAACCUGAAAUGGAAGGACCUGCAUCGUUGGGCCAAAGGAGACAAACUCCUCGUUGAGCUCAUCAACUGUGAUGGAGAUAUCGUAAAAACCACUGAAGUAUAAUAAUCAGCCCAGCUGCCACACAUUUAUCUUACAGUAACUUUUUUGCUCCUUUUAAACUACAAUAUUCUCCCUGUAUACCA